AAGGGAAGCACUGGAUCCUGGGCUGUGUCCCCUGGCACCUUGGGAUCCGGGGCCUGUGCCCCUGGAAUCAUGCUCCCGGACUGCAUAGCCCCCU
rnacentral:pre_miRNA from 1 species